GGAUUUUGGCUUAGUGGUAGAGUGCUCGUCUGGCACAUGUGAAGCACUGGGUUCGAUCCUCAAUACCA
rnacentral:tRNA from 1 species